GGGGAUGUCUUUGGAUUCGUCAGGGCAUCGGCAUUUAGUAUAAGCAUGUCUUGGUUGCGCAAGUAAAAACGCCGAGGUUAAAAUAACCGGAAACUCAAAUUUACAAUUAGCUGCCUAAGAUAAGGUGCUAACCAACACUAAGGAUACUUACGACUUAGUCGCGGUUCAUUUAGUAAGUUAUAUUUGUCGGGUGCCUAGACCGACAAAUGAACACAAAAUAGGCUAGAGUGUUAAACUUUUUGUUUGUUUAGUUUAACAUUCGAACAGUAUAAAUAAACUAAACAUGUAGAAAGUACUAGAUAAAGUGUCUUGCACAGGGGUUCGAGUCCCCUCAUCUCCACCA
rnacentral:tmRNA from 1 species